rnacentral:rRNA from 1 species
GAUAAACGUUGGCGGUGUGCCUUAUGCAUGCAAGUCGUACGAGGCUAUAAUCUUCGGAUUGUAACCGAGUGGCGGACGGCUGAGUAACGCGUAAGUAACCUGCCUGUGAGUGGGGGAUAACCUGUCGAAAGGCAGGCUAAUACCGCAUAAGAUAAGCGAGCGAUGCUUGUUUAUUAAAGUCUUAGGGCGCUUGCAGAGGGGCUUGCGUCUGAUUAGCUAGUUGGCAGGGUAAUGGCCUACCAAGGCGGUGAUCAGUAGCUGGCCUGAGAGGGUGGUCAGCCAGAUGGGGACUGAGACACGGCCCCAACUCCUACGGGUGGCUG